rnacentral:rRNA from 1 species
CCAGCCUGCCCGGUGAUACAUUCAACGGCCACGGUACCCUAACCGUGCAAAGGUAGCAUAAUCACUCGUUCUUUAAAUAGGGACUAGUAUCAACGGCAUCACGAGGGUCGCACCGUCUCCUUUUUCUAAUCAGUGAAACUGAUCUCCCCAUGAAGAAGUGGGGAUAAAACUAUAAGACGAGAAGACCCCAUGGAGCUUUAGACUUCCAACAACCACAUUACACAUUUCCCCACAACAUAAAGUUAUGUCCACCAGUCUUAGGUUGGGGCGACCGCGGAGUAAAAAACAACCUCCAUGAUGAAAAUUAAAUCUUAUCUAUGAGUUACUACUCUAAGAAUUAGAAUACUAACAUACAAUGACCCGAUAAACGACCAACGAACCAAGUUACCCUGGGGAUAACAGCGCAAUCUACUUCGAGAGCUCAUAUCGACAAGUAGGCUUACGACCUCGAUGUUGGAUCAGGGUACCCCAGUGGUGCAGCCGCUACUAACGGUU